GAAAGUGGGUAUUACAUGAAAAUGGUUGGAAUGGACAUCGACCUCCACCAUCUUCACGCCUUCUCCAUCUUCAAGGUCCUAAUCUAAACCUAAUCUAAGAAAUUUAUGACUAGGUGCAUACAAAUGAAAGAAACAAUCAUCACAACUAAGAUCAAAGCAAUUGGGGUAGAACCCAUGUAUGAUUGGCUCUAAGAAAAAAGCACAGAAAUCAAUGCACUUUAUAAAGAGCAACUUUCAUGAAUGGAAUCUCCUGAGGUGUAUCGAGUUCAAGUAAAGUCAAAUUCAUGGCCGAAAAGCAACAAUUGCUAAAGCAUGCAAAUCAAUCAUAAGCAAAUCAAAGAAUGAUGCAUGACAACAGACUUACCAAGUCAUCUAAUCAAUGCAUGAAAAUCAUGAAAUUUGAACAUGACGUAGGGUUAAAUGUGAAGAAAAAGUUUGAUUUAGACAUUCAACCCUAAAUCUAUGUGCAAAAGGUCACACAAAUCCAUUAACAUUGAUAUGUGACUUGUCAUUUAGAAGCAAAAUGCAUGACAAUUUCAGUUGUGGUAUACCGAGUUGAUGCAUGGUUUUUACAUGGUCAGUGAUCUUCAAAUGAGAUAUGCCAUGUAUCAUUGCGAAGCUUAUGAUAUGCUCUAAGUAUGUCUAGAAAGCAUCAAGCAUCAAGUAUGCUCUUAAGGAACUUGAUUGAAGACAUUUUCAUGGAAACGCAAUCAAUUAAAAUCACAGCAGGGAUUGCACAAAACAUGGAUGACAUUCAUUGAAAUGAAGACAUAAAGAAAAUUCAUGAAAGUCCAAGUAUAUAGAAGGAAAUUUCCCAAUCAUCUAUCAUGAGACAUCGAAGUCCUACAUUGUUCACAAAAAUCUAUAUGAAAAA
rnacentral:lncRNA from 1 species